rnacentral:rRNA from 1 species
UGGGGAAUAUUGCACAAUGGGGGGAACCCGUGAUGCAGCGACGCCGCGUGGAGGAAGAAGGUCUUCGGAUUGUAAACUCCUGUUGUUAGGGACGAUAAUGACGGUACCUAACAAGGAAGCACCGGCUAACUACGUGCCAGCAGCCGCGGUAAAACGUAGGGUGCAAGCGUUGUCCGGAAUUACUGGGUGUAAAGGGAGCGCAGGCGGGCAUGCAAGUUGGAAGUGAAAACUAUGGGCUCAACCCAUAGCCUGCUUUCAAAACUGCGUGUCUUGAGUAGUGCAGAGGUAGGCGGAAUUCCCGGUGUAGCGGUGGAAUGCGUAGAUAUCGGGAGGAACACCAGUGGCGAAGGCGGCCUACUGGGCACCAACUGACGCUGAGGCUCGAAAGCAUGGGUAGCAAACAGGAUUAGAUACCCUGGUAGU